rnacentral:rRNA from 1 species
UACGUAGGUGGCGAGCGUUGUCCGGAUUUACUGGGCGUAAAGCGCGCGCAGGCGGCAGUCUAAGUCCUCUGUGAAAUCCCCCGGCUCAACUGGGUGGCUGCGGAGGAGACUGGGCAGCUUGAGGGGCCUAGAGGCCGGUGGAACUCCCGGUGUAGUGGUGAAAUGCGUAGAGAUCGGGAAGAACACCAGUGGCGAAGGCGGCCGGCUGGGGGCGCCCUGACGCUGAGGCGCGAGAGCGUGGGGAGCAAACCGG